rnacentral:piRNA from 1 species
UAUGGUUCAUGCCCUACAGUAUAAACAAC